GGGCCCCCCCCGCCCCGACGCUGACCUUGUCUCUCCGUGUUUCAGGGCGCCUCGUUCCCCAGGCUGCAGGGCCCCUGCAAACCCUCCUGCCCCUGCGGAUUUGCUCCGCCGCUGUCCGUCCUCUGCCCCCCAGCGUCACCUCUGCCUCGCGCUGCCCCGUCCCAGAGCCCCACGUCCCCGCACUGAUCCCUGGGGCCACCCCCUCCCUCCCAUCCCAGCUCAGCUUCGCUGUCGCUGCUCUGCAGCCCCGGGGUCCCCAGGGCCCUGUGACGGUGGCCCUCCGCUGCUCUGGCUCUGCAUAAUAAAGUGUCUGGGUACCCUC